ACUCCCAAACCCCUGUGAACAUACCUUUAUGUUGCCUCGGCGGAUCAGCCCGCGCCCCGUAAAACGGGACGGCCCGCCGCAGGAAACCCUAAACUCUGUUUUUAGUGGAACUUCUGAGUAUAAAAAACAAAUAAAUCAAAACUUUCAACAACGGAUCUCUUGGUUCUGGCAUCGAUGAAGAACGCAGCAAAAUGCGAUAAGUAAUGUGAAUUGCAGAAUUCAGUGAAUCAUCGAAUCUUUGAACGCACAUUGCGCCCGCCAGUAUUCUGGCGGGCAUGCCUGUUCGAGCGUCAUUUCAACCCUCAAGCCCAGCUUGGUGUUGGGAUCUGUCCUUACCGACAGUCCCCAAAUUGAUUGGCGGUCACGUCGAGCUUCCAUAGCGUAGUAAUUUACACAUCGUUACUGGUAAUCGUCGCGGCCACGCCGUUAAACCCCAACUUCUGAAUGUUGACCUCGGAUCAGGUAGGAAUACCCGCUGAACUUAAGCAUAUCAAUAAGCGGAGGAAAAGAAACCAACAGGGAUUGCCCUAGUAACGGCGAGUGAAGCGGCAACAGCUCAAAUUUGAAAUCUGGCUCUCGGGCCCGAGUUGUAAUUUGUAGAGGAUGACUUUGAUGCGGUGCCUUCCGAGUUCCCUGGAACGGGACGCCAUAGAGGGUGAGAGCCCCGUCUGGUUGGAUGCCAAAUCUCUGUAAGUCUCCUUCGACGAGUCGAGUAGUUUGGGAAUGCUGCUCUAAAUGGGAGGUAUAUGUCUUCUAAAGCUAAAUACCGGCCAGAGACCGAUAGCGCACAAGUAGAGUGAUCGAAAGAUGAAAAGCACUUUGAAAAGAGAGUUAAAAAGUACGUGAAAUUGUUGAAAGGGAAGCGUUUAUGACCAGACUUGGGCUUGGUUAAUCAUCUGGGGUUCUCCCCAGUGCACUUUUCCAGUCCAGGCCAGCAUCAGUUUUCGCCGGGGGAUAAAGACUUCGGGAAUGUGGCUCCCCUCGGGGAGUGUUAUAGCCCGUUGUGUAAUACCCUGGCGGGGACUGAGGUUCGCGC
rnacentral:rRNA from 1 species